AAGUCUCUUUCUCACCGUUAGGGAACGUUAUAAUUUUCUCCUCUCUUUCUGACGCUUCAUUGUGUGUCGCCGCCCUCCCCUUCAGGGACGUACCUCUUUCUCUUCUGUGAUCCUUUUCUUACCAUACACCAUGAGCCUGGAAGCCAAUAUCGCGGUGUGCCUUCACGACCUGAAGUCGCCCUCGGAUCAUCCGGUGGCGCUGCGCUCCUCCCCAAACGGAGUCUCCUUCAUGUGCCCCCCAUCCCUGAAGGAGGCUAACUUCCCCGGCAAUGACACGAAUUUUGCGGUAGAGCAUGUGCUGGAGCGGCCGAAUGCGGGUGCAAUCCAGAAAAAGAUGCUCUCCUCUGCUGCCUCCGACUUUGUGAAGAACCGUCAGAACCUGGUCAUGUUCAGCUACGGCGUCCGCUCUACCCCGAAGCGUCAACUGAUGUACGGCCAACAGUCCGAGGAGGGCUACGCGGUGCGCGUCAUCUCAGAUGCAGUAACCACUGGCCAGGGUAUCUUCACGCUUUCGUGCUACAUUAUUGGCCAGGACGAACACCUUGUGGACCUUAUCUCGGCAGAAAACGAACUCGGCGUGAUUGUGGAGUCAGUGAAGGAAGGCCCGCGUGUGCGUAUGGUGGAGCGCUCCAGGGUCAAGACUGAAUCGGAUGUGCGAGGCGUCUUCUCCAAGAUCGUGCAGAACUACCACAAGCAGUUCGAGUCCGUGCUGCCAGAGAAGCAGCCCACCGCCGAGCUCCAGGCGCUUCCACCGUACAAGGGCGAUACGAUCAUGCUGCAGCUGUUCCGCUACGAAUCUGAGGAGAAGUACAGCAACUACGAGGAUGCCAACUCGAUGACGUUUGUGGCUCUCGGUGACUCGGAGCGGCCGGUGCUGUGCGGCCUCGAUUCUUCCCAGCAAGAGGCGUUCGAGAAGACAAACCGUAUCUUGCUGUCUGCUGUGGGCAUUGUGUCGAGCAUCAAGUGCAGCCGCCUGCGCAUUCCCUUUGGCAAGUCGAAGCUGAGCCAGUUGAUGCGCCGCUGCUACAAUGCCGAGAAGGGCAACCCCAACGGCGCCCUGAACGGGCCCACAAACACUGUCAUGCUGAUUCACUGCUGGACGAACGGCGAGUGGGCGGAGGAGAGUUUUCACAACCUUUCCAUGAUACGGCGCAUCUGCAACACGCUUGGCUCCUCCGGCAUUGGCUCCAUGCUGCGCGACUUGCCAGUGGAGAAGUGGCGCCUCGAUCAGGACAUCAAUGAGCUGCGCGAUGAGCUGGUGGUGGCGCGCAUGGUGUACGACUACAAGCCGUGCAUCUGCGAGUCCGCAAAGCCUAUCGCGAACAUCAAGGAGGAGGAGCUGAAGCGCAUCAACGCCAUCCAGCUGAAACGCAACGAGGCGCACGAGAAGCAGCUCGCCAUGAUCCAGGAGAAGGCCAUGGAGGAGGCCAAGAAGACCAUCAAGGAUCAGGAGGCGAGCAGCGGCGUCACCCUGGCGUCCCUCGAAAAGAUGCUCGAGGCCAAGAAGCGUGAAAACGAGUCGCUGCAGCUCGAGCGUGACAACAUGACGCAUGAGUACGAGCAGACACUCGAAAAGAUCCGGCGCAAGAAGUACAGCGAGGAAGACAUCGUGUCUCGCCUCCGUGAGGAGACAAAUCAGUUGGAGGAGGAGCUGGGCGCGCGCCAGGCGGCCAUCCUGAACAAGCAGAAGCAGCUGGAUUUGGCAAAGCUGGACAAAACCAAAUGCCGCGAGGCCAUCCUGCGCGAGCGCGGAAACGUGGAGGCGAUGCGCAAGACGCUCAUGACUGAGCGGCGCCACCAACGUGAGCAAUGGAUUAAGCAGAUCAAGGAAGUUAACCAGCAGGUGCUGGUGCAGCUCCGCACCAUGGCUGAUGAGCGCAAGCAGAACGGCGAGACCGUUUCGGCGAAAGAGGAGGCGUCCGAGAAGGCCGUGAUUGAGGACAUCAAGACCAUUGAGGAGUACCUGCCAAAGCUCAUCUCGCUCGAGGACGUCCCUGUCAACCCGGAGGAGACAGAGAGCAUCCGCCGCCAGUUUGAUGAAGUCUUCUUGCAGGAGAAAAAGACGUACCUGAUGAAGAUCGAUGAGGAGAAGGCGCGCAAGGAGAAGCUGGAGAAGGGCCUCAUGGCGUACCGCAACCGCGUGCUCGAAGUGGCGCACGCAAAGAAGAAGGAGAACAUGCAGGAUGCCGCGAAGAAGGAGCAGCACCUCAGCUCGCUGGUCGAGCAGGUGCUCACGUACCUGCGCAACGGCGUGAAGAUGAUGAAGGUGUCGAGCAAGAAUCAUGUGCGCUGCCGCUUUUACUUCAUCUCCGAUGAUGGAAGUCGCAUCCACUCAUGCGAACUUGAUGGCCAGGGUGCCCCGAUCAACCGACGCAAGCCGCCAGUGACUAUCUGGCUGCGCGACAUCCGCAAGGUGGUGCUCGGCGUCUACACCGAAUCCUUCGUGUCCUUCAGCUCCGAGAGCCAGCUCGCCAAAGCGCGCGCCGAGGCGGUCACGGACAACGGCACAUACCGCAAUGACAUAACGCAGAGCAUCACGCCUGCGAACAUCGGCCUCAACAAUUACCGCGCGUUUGCGCUGCUGCUACGCGGCGGCAAGUCGCUCGAGGUGGUUUGCUACUCCGACACAGACUGCGAGGCUUGGAUGGUGGGACUUCGGCGUCUGCUGGGGAUCAAGACGGCGACUGAGAAGCAAGUGGAACAGCAUAUGGAAAGUGUCCGCCCUCAGGAGCCCCCUGUGGUGGAGCAGCCAGUGGAGAUGAAGUUCGGCGGCCUCCUUGACGUGCGCAACAUGCGCGGCUUUCUCGCACUCUCCGCCGAGGAGGCCAGUUUGUGCAGUGAGAGCCACAUUCCGCCGGCGCUCUUCCUGCGCGUAAAGCAGGAGAUGGUGGACAAGUCUCACACCGGCUCCAUCACCACCUACGACGUGCGCGUUUCCUCUGGGCUCGACUUGGUGCGCUCAGGUUGCAUCUACGACUUCCUGGUGCAGCAACACAUCAUCCCACUUCCGUUCUAGGAGAUGCGUUGCGAUGCCACGUGGCACGUACGUUUUGCUUUCUUGACACCCACAUCAUACGCUGUGGUUUCUUGCUUCAACAAGUUUCUGACUAUCGUGGCGGCGAAGGCCGAGGCACCUUUGGUGCGUGUCGCAGCGUGUCUUCACGCACGCCGCUGUACUCCCCCACUCCCUCUUUGAUUCUUUCGUACUCCGCCGUUUGCCGUAUUUUCGCUUUUGCUGUUUCUCGAGUGCGCGCCGAACGUCUCUCUCUUGUAUGCUUGACGUGUGAGGGAAGAGCGUGGAGAGAGAGGGGGCCGGCGGCGGUGGUGGUGGUGGGAGCACCAACACCCACGCUCACAAAGAGAGGGAGACAGCACUUCCAGCACGUGGGAGCGUGAAACAAACUCAAAGGAUCCACGCUCACUGCUCUUCUCAGAUGCGUCCUCUAUUUCUCAUUGACUAUAUAUGGGCUUAUGCGUGUCUGUCUGUGUGUAUCCCUGUCUGACCUCUGACCUCUCUCCCUCUCUUACUGUCCCCUUCACUAUUGCUGUGCUAUAUAUUUCCAUUUCCUUGAUGACGCGCUUGCCACCCCUCCUCCUCUAUCAUGGUCUCUGUGUCUCUAUGUGUCUACGCGUCUGUGUUUUUGUGUGACACCGCGUUCUACAUUUUCUUUUUCGAUGGUGGCCUGUCUUCGCGCGCGCAUGGCUUGAUACUCUGGGUUGCGGAAAGGUCUUCACCUCCGCCAGCUCAUCUACUCGGAGAUCCACGCUGGCGGACACUGAAGCACAAGCGUAUGCGCGAUUAUACAAACUUGAUUUCGUAGAAGGAGAGAUAUGUUCUCAAGCGUGUCACCAUCAACACAUUCCAAGCGGAUGUCCUCCCUGUUCAUCGCUUUUUGCUUUCCAAUUUGUUUUCUUGCUUGAUUUAGCGGUGGGGUGCCUCACAUGUCUUCUGUCGACGUCUCGCUCUUUCUUUCCCGCCGGCCCUCUUGUUUCACUGUCCGCACCUUUGUUGUUUCUUUCUCUCGGGUGGCCGAUAGACGCCAAACAAACAAGAUGGCGCACUUCGCAUCUUCAAAAGCGCGUACCCACGUAGGGUGGGAGAGAGAAAGCCAAAUACCUCUGCCCACUCUGACCGUCUAAAGCGACAUAUGCCGGUGGUGCCGUCGUUGGAGGUUGAGGCAGCGGUGCAACGCGUAAGUACAUCUCUGGAGUGCAAAG
rnacentral:misc_RNA from 1 species